GAUGAAGAACGUAGCGAAAUGCGAUAAGUAGUGUGAAUUGCAGAAUUCAGUGAAUCAUCGAAUCCUUGAACGCACAUUGCGCCCCUUGGUAUCCCGAGGGGCAUGCCUGUUCGAGCGUCAUUUCACCACUCAAGCCUGGCUUGGUGUUGGGCGACGUCCUCUUUGGGGACGCGCCUCGAAACGCUCGGCGGCGUGGCACCGGCUUUAAGCGUAGCAGAAUCUUUCGCUUUGGAAGUCGGGGCCCCGUCUGCCGGAAGACCUGCUCGCAAGGUUGACCUCGGAUCAGGCAGGGAUACCCGCUGAACUUAAGCAUAUCAAUAAGCGGAGGA
rnacentral:misc_RNA from 1 species